rnacentral:rRNA from 1 species
UACGGGGGGGGCAAGCGUUGUUCGGAAUUACUGGGCGUAAAGGGCGCGUAGGCGGCUCGCUAAGUUGGAUGUGAAAACUCUGGGCUUAACCCAGAGCCUGCAUUCAAAACUGACGGGCUAGAGUUCUGGAGGGGAUAGCGGAAUUCCUGGUGUAGCGGUGAAAUGCGUAGAUAUCAGGAGGAACACCGGUGGCGAAGGCGGCUAUCUGGACAGAAACUGACGCUGAGGCGCGAAAGCUAGGGGAGCAAACAGG